rnacentral:rRNA from 1 species
GACGAACCGUGCGAACGUUAUUCGGAAUCACUGGGCUUAAAGCGCGUGUAGGCGGAUGGCCGCGUCCGUUGCUGAAAGCCCCCGGCUCAACCGGGGGAUGGGCGCGGAUACGGGCCGUCUGGAGGGGCGUAGGGGGAGCUGGAACUCACGGUGGAGCGGUGAAAUGCGUUGAGAUCGUGAGGAACGCCCGCGGCGAAAGCGAGCUCCUGGACGCUUACUGACGCUGAGACGCGAAAGCCAGGGGAGCGAACGGG